rnacentral:rRNA from 1 species
CACCGCCUGUUCCGCACCGUCUCCUCCAACUGGAACCGGUUCCUCACCGACGCGCUGGGGGCCGCCGCCAAGACCAAGGGCUCGGCCCCGCCGGCGGCGACGGUCUCGCUCUCGCUGCCGUUCCUCUUCGCCUUCGCCUUUGACCCCGUCUCGCGCCGCCUUCAGUGCCAGGCGCUCGACCCCUUCUCCCGCCGCUGGCUGCUGCUGCCCCCGGUCCCCUGCGGCGCCGCGGCCGGCUCGUUCGCCGUCGUGGGCCUCCCCGCGCGCGGCGAGAUCUAUGUGAUCGGCGGCGUGGAGGAGGGCGGCGACAAGGCCGUGAGCAGCGUGGCCGUCUACAGCGCGGCGACCAACGGGUGGGGGCAGGUGGUCGGCAUGAGGACG